AACGAACGCUGGCGGCAUGCCUAACAUAUGCAAGUCGAACGAACCCUUCGGGGUUAGUGGCGCACGGGUGCGUAACGCGUGGGAAUCUGCCCUUUGCUUCGGAAUAACAGUUAGAAAUGACUGCUAAUACCGGAUGAUGUCUUCGGACCAAAGAUUUAUCGGCAAAGGAUGAGCCCGCGUAGGAUUAGGUAGUUGGUGGGGUAAAGGCCUACCAAGCCGACGAUCCUUAGCUGGUCUGAGAGGAUGAUCAGCCACACUGGGACUGAGACACGGCCCAGACUCCUACGGGAGGCAGCAGUGGGGAAUAUUGGACAAUGGGCGCAAGCCUGAUCCAGCAAUGCCGCGUGAGUGAUGAAGGCCUUCGGGUCGUAAAGCUCUUUUACCAGGGAUGAUAAUGACAGUACCUGGAGAAUAAGCUCCGGCUAACUCCGUGCCAGCCGCCGCGGUAAUAC
rnacentral:rRNA from 1 species